rnacentral:tRNA from 1 species
GUUUAAGUAGCUUAUGUUAAAGCACCAGUCUUGUAAACUGAAGAUUAGAGACUAAAUCUCUCUCUUAAACU